rnacentral:rRNA from 1 species
GACAGAGGCCUCGAGCGUUAGGCGGAAUCACUGGGCUUAAAGCGUGUGUAGGCGGGCCCGUAAGUACCUUGUGAAAUCCCACGGCUCAACCGUGGAACGGCUGGGUAUACUGCGGGUCUUGGGCCAACUAGGGGCAGCCGGAACAAGCGGUGGAGCGGUGAAAUGCGUAGAUAUCGCUUGGAACGCCGAAGGUGAAAACAGGCUGCUGGGGUUGCGCCGACG